UGAGGAAUAUUGGUCAAUGGGCGGAAGCCUGAACCAGCCAAGUCGCGUGAGGGAAGACGGUCCUAUGGAUUGUAAACCUCUUUUGCAGGGGAGCAAAGCCGGUCUCGUGAGGCCGGAAGGAGAGUACCCUGAGAAAAAGCAUCGGCUAACUCCGUGCC
rnacentral:rRNA from 1 species